rnacentral:rRNA from 1 species
UACAGAGGUCCCAAGCGUUGUUCGGAUUCAUUGGGCGUAAAGGGUGCGUAGGCGGCGCGGUAAGUCGGGUGUGAAAUCUCGGGGCUUAACUCCGAAACUGCAUUCGAUACUGCCGUGCUUGAGGACUGGAGAGGAGACUGGAAUUUACGGUGUAGCGGUGAAAUGCGUAGAGAUCGUAAGGAAGACCAGUGGCGAAGGAGGGGCUCGGGACAGUUCCUGACACUGAGGCACGAAGGCCAGGGGAGCAAACGGG